rnacentral:lncRNA from 1 species
UCCUUGAAAAUUCACCCUUCGGGAUUCACCUCUCAAAUUUCACCUGUCGGGAUUCACCCUUCAAAAUUCACCUGUCGGGAUUCACCUGUUGGGAUUCACCUGUCAUGAUUCGCCCUUCAGGAUUCGCCCUUCAGGAUUCACCUCCCAAAAUUCACCUGUCAGGAUUCACAUUUCCAAUUUCACCUGUUGGGAUUCGCCCUUCAAAAUUCACCUGUCGGGAUUCGCCCUUCAGGAUUCGCCCUUCAAAAUUCAUCCUUCAGAUUUCACCUCUCAAAUUUCACCUGUCGGGAUUCGCCCUUCAGGAUUUAUCCUUGAAAAUUCACCCUUCGGGAUUCACCUUUCAAAAUUCACCUGUCAGGAUUCACCUUUCAAAUUUCACCUGUCAGGAUUCGCUCUUCAGGAUUCACCUCCCAAAAUUCGCCUGUCGGGAUUCGCCUGUCAGGAUUCGCCCUUCAAAAUUCACCUGUCGGGAUUCGCCCUUCAGGAUUCGCCUCCCAAAUUUCACCUGUCAGGAUUCGUCCUUCAAAAUUCAUCCUUCAGAUUUCACCUCUCAAAUUUCACCUGUCGGGAUUCACCUGUUGGGAUUCACCUGUCAUGAUUCGCCCUUCAGGAUUCACCUCCCAAAAUUCACCUGUCAGGAUUCACAUUUCCAAUUUCACCCUUCGGGAUUCGCCCUGCAGGAUUCGCCUGUCAGGAUUCGCCCUUCAAAAUUCACCUGUCAGGAUUCACCUCCCAAAAUUCACCUGUCGGGAUUCACCUGUUGGGAUUCGCCCUUCAAAAUUCACCUGUCGGGAUUCGCCCUUCAAAAUUCACCCGUCAGGAUUCACCUUUCAAAUUUCACCUGUCAGGAUUCGUCCUUCAGGAUUCACCUCCCAAAAUUCGCCCUUGAAAAUUCACCUGUCGGAAUUCGCCCUUCAGGAUUCGCCUCCCAAAUUUCACCUGUCAGGAUUCACAUUUCCAAUUUCACCUGUCAGGAUUCGCCCUUCAAAAUUCAUCCUUCAGAUUUCACCUCCCAAAAUUCACCUGUCGGGAUUCACCCUUCAAAUUUCACCUGUCAGGAUUCACCUCUCAAAUUUCACCUGUCGGGAUUCACCCUUCAGGAUUCACCUCCCAAAAUUCACCUGUCGAGAUUCACCUGUCGGGAUUCACCCUUCAGGAUUUGCCCUGCAGGAUUCACCUCCCAAAAUUCACCUGUCGGGAUUCACCUCUCAAAAAUCCAUCUUUGA